rnacentral:rRNA from 1 species
CCUACGGGAGGCAGCAGUGAGGAAUAUUGGUCAAUGGGCGCGAGCCUGAACCAGCCAAGUCGCGUGAAGGAUGAAUGCCCUACGGGUUGUAAACCUCUUUUAUCACGGAAUAAAGUGAGGCACGUGUGCCUUUUUGUAUGUACUUUAUGAAUAAGGAUCGGCUAACUCCGUGCCAGCAGCCGCGGUAAUACGGAGGAUCCGAGCGUUAUCCGGAUUUAUUGGGUUUAAAGGGAGCGUAGAUGGGUUGUUAAGUCAGUUGUGAAAGUUUGGGGCUCAACCGUAAAAUUGCAAUUGAUACUGGCGGCCUUGAGUACAGUUGAGGUAGGCGGAAUUCGUGGUGUAGCGGUGAAAUGCUUAGAUAUCACGAAGAACUCCGAUUGCGAAGGCAGCCUACUAAACUGCCACUGACAUUGAUGCUCGAAAGUGUGGGUAUCAAACAGGAUUAGAUACCCUAGUAGUC